rnacentral:rRNA from 1 species
UACGAAGGGGGCUAGCGUUGCUCGGAAUCACUGGGCGUAAAGGGUGCGUAGGCGGGGCUUUAAGUCAGGGGUGAAAUCCUGGAGCUCAACUCCAGAACUGCCUUUGAUACUGAAGAUCUUGAGUUCGGGAGAGGUGAGUGGAACUGCGAGUGUAGAGGUGAAAUUCGUAGAUAUUCGCAAGAACACCAGUGGCGAAGGCGGCCUGCUGGGCUGUUGCUGACGCUGAGGCGCGACAGCGUGGGGAGCAAACAGG